CAGUGGGCCAAUCAGCAGAAUGGGAGAGUCCUAGAAUUGGAGAAACAUCUUGUAAAGCAACUGAGUACAGAGGAGGUUAACUCACUGAACUAAAAGUUCAAGGAAGCAACCGACGCUGAUAGAAGGUACUUGGAAAUUUUGUAUUUCAUUACUGUGUAUGCAUCACUUUUUCUUCAUUUUUUUUUUUUUACCUUUAGCUUGUUGCGCGAUGUAUAAUUUCUCUUCUUAAGUUUGGAAUGUUCCUAGUCCUUUUGAAGCGAAGACCCCUUUAGUUUUAUCAUCAUUACGAAUUUGAUGUUUGUAUAUACUGUUAAACAGGGGGUGUGCCUUUCUUUUUCGGCUUUAAUUUGCUGUAUUUUUUUAAACGAGAACAAGUUUUGCUGUUGUUAGUCCAGUGGGGCCAUUCAUAUUUUUUGCUCAUUGCAGUUCAGCCAUCGAACUAUCGCAUAUUUUUGUUGUGUCUAAUGUUCUAAGUGUUUGGUCAUGAGAUUUUACUUCGCCUUGGGCAUGUCGUGUUAGUUAAUGUCUAAGUUUAUGAUAUAAAGGCGAGUUUCAAGAUGCCGCUGGACUUGCAAAUCAAGUUUUAAAGACAACAAACAGGAUAUUACACACUUGUCCAUAACUUGUUAAACAAUACUAAAAUAAUAAAAGCCUUGCCUAUUUGUCGUCUUAUUUCUUGGACAGAUAAGUGAGCUAUCAAAGUACAAACUUGAUGUAAAGUUUUUCCUAUUUCUAUUGGAUAAUGAUGCUUAAAAUUGUUGGAUUAAAAGUCCAAAUUAUUAUCUGUUCCAUUGGCUUCAGAUCCAUGAUCAUCACUUUCGUUUGCUUUGAACUCACUUGAUCAACUGGCUUCAGGCUCAUCUCUUUGAUCCACCACCUUCGGAAUUGUCAUCUUGUCAUGUUUCUUCUUCUACUUUUGGUUCCCUAGACCUGUAGUCAUGAUCAAAUUUGAAUUUCUCAGCAUCUUCGGCAUACAACAGGCUUAUGCCACAACUUUCCACAUUCAUAUCGUCCACCAGGCAAAAUUUAAUAGAUGCCUCAUUGGCAAGUUUGUAAACAUCAAGGGAGCGUUUUUUUGCUACCUCUUCACUUGUAGAGGACUCAUUCCACACAUACACGUGAUGUUGGUCAUAAGUUAGUCUUUCCAGGGGGGUACUGGGAUAAACAAGUCAGAAGUGAAUAGUUCAUGCCUUUCACCCAUGAAUUUGACAAUGAAAU
rnacentral:lncRNA from 1 species